AUUGAACGCUGGCGGCAUGCCUAACACAUGCAAGUCGAGCGAGCGGCGGACGGGUGAGUAAUGUAUGGGGACUGCCCGAUAGAGGUGGCUAACUACUGGAACCGGUAUCUAAUAACGCAUACUAUCGGAUAACCCAUAUGGGAUUAGCUAGUAGGUGAGGUAAUGGCUCACCUAGGCGACGAUCCCUAGCUGGUCUGAGAGGAUGAUCAGCCACACUGGGACUGAGACACGGCCCAGACUCCUACGGAGGCAGCAGUGGGGAAUAUUGCACAAUGGGCGCAAGCCUGAUGCAGCCAUGCCGCGUGUAUGAAGAAGGCCCUAGGGUUGUAAAGUACUUUCAUUCGGGAGGCGUUACCGACAGAAGAAGCACCGGCUAACUCCGUGCCAGCAGCCGCGGUAAUAC
rnacentral:rRNA from 1 species